CUGAGCAGCUGUAAAAUUUAAACCUUGAACCUGACCUGAAAUAAGAGCUGUACUUCAUGAAUUCCAUAAACCUAGAUAAAAUCUAGCAUGGAAGGGUUUAGAAUUCUUUUGAAUGCAUAUGACCCAAGGAUACCCUUCCUAUUUCAACUUAUACCCAUAUUUGGUUGGAACCUCAAAUACUAAAUCCUGGGUGAGCUGGGACUUCUAUUCUCCAUAAAGCUUUGUCACUCUGCUGCCUGCCUUUGAGCCUCUGUUAAAGGUUUGUUAUAUCCUUGUCAGCUUGGAAAUCGCUACCUAGAAGAGGUCUCUCCUUGCAGUUUCUUCUGACAGUUGCUGAAUCACUGACAUGCUAAGAAACAUCUGUAUCCAUCAGAAUUUGAUCAGAGAAGCAGCACAACUACAAAUGAUGAAGCAGGAGAGGUUUACAACAGAGAUUAGUGGAGCUGAUGGAGAAGUCGAGGCAGGACUAUCGUCUUGUGUCUGGUAUUGUGCGUAAAGUCACAACAGGUCUGCCAGACCAGCUGUUGGGAAAGGGAAGCCUAAUAUAGCAAGAACAAGGACAAUUAGAACAGGUGGGGAGUACUGGGACCCACAAAGACAAACCCUAACUCUUAAGUGACUCUCACCAACUCCCAACCCAGUGCUAUGAGAGGUUUUCAGGAGAAGCUGCGGUCCUUUGGAGCUGGACACGCAGGACUCAGUGAAGCUGAUUCAGGAGAUCUUGUCAGAACCGUUUCAAUCAACCUUCUAUCUAAAUGCUCAGUAAAAAAAUUAAAAUGUUAGCUUUAAUUCACGUCUUCUUUUUGUCUAAACAUAUUCUUCUUCAAGUCCUGUUAUUACUGCUACAAUGGAAUGUGAAGCUGCCCAUUUCUCUCCAGAUAAGCAAUUACUAUCUGGUUCCAAGUUGUGAGCAUGUUUCAACCAUGAACGUAACUUUCAUAGUCCCAGUUUUGAGCCAUCCCACCUCAAAAACAUAGACUCCACACAGUGGCCUUGCCCUAGCCCCAAAUUCAUCAAUGAUUUUCCUUGACAUAGUGAAAUCUGAAGUCCUUCCCUGAGCUCCAAAUCUCAACGCCACUCCCUUAAUCUAAAAAUGUAUCCAUUCAGCCUCACCCCCUUCCACUUUUUUUGACUUUAUUUCACCCCUGCCACCUUAGCUUCCUUUAUAUUUUGAAAUAAUUCUGUGUUCUUUAUCAUCAUAACUCAGUUGUUUUACCUUAAGCCAGCAGCUCUUCUGUCUGCAUGAUUCUUUAUCUUUCAAGUUUCAUUUCAAUAUAAUCUGCUUGCAAAUUAAUUUUCUAAUUACCAUGUUUUUGGUAAACAUUCCCCAUCUCUUAUUCUUCUACACACAGACACAUACACAUACACUUACUCCCUUCUCUAUCUUCUUCCUCGGCCUUAUAAUAAUGUAACUUAUGUUUUCAUAAACAAACCUUAAAAACAGAACCUGACAGAAAACAGUCAAUAUAUAUUUGUAGAAAGACAAAAUUAUCGCUUUUAUUUGUAUUCAUUUUAUUAAUUAUAAUGCUUUAAGUCAUUUCACAUAUUCAUUUGCAGUUGGUAAGUCUUCUGUAUGUUGACAGCUGAAUUAGCCCAUUUGUUUCUUUCUUGUGUUCUUUGUUUUCUUUAAAGUGCCUUACUUAUUUGUGAAGGCUAAGAAUACCUUAAAAUAUUUAUCUUUAGGCCGGGUGCGAUGGCUCACGUCUGUAAUCCCAGCACUUUGGGAGGCCGAGACGGGUGGAUCACUUGAAGUCAGGAGUUCGAGAACAGCCUGGCCAACAUGGUGAAACCCCAUCUCUACUAAAAAUACAAAAAUUAGCCUGCCAUGGUGGUGGAUGCCUGUAUUCUCAGCUACUCGGGAGGCAGGAGAAUCGCUUGAACCUGAGAGGCGGAGGUUGCAGUGAGCCAAGAUCUCACCACUGCACUGCAGCCUGGGCCAAACAGCCAGACUCCGUCUCAAAAAAAAAAAAAAAAAAUUAUCUUUAAUCUCUCAAACAUGUAACAUAUUUUUCAUCAUUUAAAAAUAUUUUACAGUUUUGUCAUAGAUAUUUUACAUCUUCUAAAUCAAAUUUAUCUUAUACUUUGACUUUUCUGACAUAUUUCCUAUGAAGUUAUUUUUCACCACAGUAAUAUAAAGACCUUGACUAAAAUUAUCUAGUCAUCACACAAUUUUAUAAUUUAAAUUUGUAUCAUUAACACGUGUGAUAUAUUUUGCUAUAUGAUAUGUGAUGGAGCGCCAGCAUUUUUUAAAUUUAUCUAUAUUUGUUGCCAAUGAUCUAAAUAAAUUUUUUGUUUUAUUGAUCUGUCUUAUGUGAGAAUCUUAAAGUUUUAGUAAGUAUAUCUUCAAAUUCAUCUCCGGCAUCUUACACUUUUUUCCAGAACUUUCCCGAUUACUAUCAUAUAUACUCUUCCAAAUGAAAUUAAAACAAUUUGAAAUAACUUUAGAAGUGUAUAAUUAUGUUUCUAAGUAUUGAUGAAUUACUUAGAUAUUUGUUUCUGUCUUUUUGUUGUUGUUUGCUAUGGUUU
rnacentral:lncRNA from 1 species